CUCCAGAAUGCCCAUUUCUUGGGCCAGUUUUUCACUGGUAAAUCUGCAAGGGUACAGGUUCCAUUUAAACCAUGCUGGUUGGGUAUCCUUUUGACUUGGCAUAAAAUACUUCUCCUUCAUUAUGAUUCACUUGGGUGAAAGCCAACAGAAAGUCUGGAAAGAUCCACUGUGAAAAGAUUUCAUCUGGACUCCACAGACACCGCUGGCCAGCUCUCACUUGCACAGGAUUUCCGCACACCGAGCCAGCCCCAGCCCUUGCUUCAAUAUUUUCCCACUCCAGCUCAUUAAACAUUUUAGUUUUUUGUUAUAUAUUUAAGACACUGAAGAAAGCAUAGGAAACCAGCAAAAAUUGAAUUUUGCUGGAAUUUAAGUUUGAGAGCAGCCCGCAAGAGGAACACAUUGGGUGGGUAGACAUGUUGUGCUUUUUAAUUUUUUUCCUGUAAGAUAGUCAACAAUAAUUAAUUUGAACAAGAAAAAAAUGGUUGUCAUACAUAUAUAAAAGUAAAGUCUAGAAAAAUAAAAAGUUUUUGUUUUGACCUAAUUCAGAUUAUAUAAAAAUAGAAAUCACAGUAUUUGUUUUUACAUAUUUUGAAAAUUAAAUAACCUUGAAAUGAUAAAGUGCAGAAAAUAAUGUGAAUAAUAAUGUUGAGUUUUCUAGUCCCUCUUCUGAUCCUUCAUCCUGGUAGCUUAUAUCCUGUUUUGCUGCAUAAUAAAUAAUUUUAUUCUCACCUUUGGGAAAUACCAAAUUUGGAGUGUCUGUAGUGAGUUUAUUUCUGGUUUUUAUAGUUACACACCUGGAAGUUGGACAAACCCCACAUUGAUUUGACAUCAUUGUGAUUAGUCAGUCGGUAUGUAAAGGGAGCACCUACUUCUUAGUUUGGUUACUCCCUUGGAUGGUUUCCUGUAUUUAAUUUUGCUACUGGGAAGUGUUUACAUUUCCCUUUCAAUUAUUUUCAGAAUUCAGAUAUUCUUGUAACUUCUUGAGGAGUUUUAGUGGUCUUACUUAAAGUUUUUACAAUAUAUAUUAUUUUUUCCUCAGGGUACAAAUGUGUGAAAUAUUUCACACAGAUAUUUUGUAAUGGAUAACAAUAUUUUAUGAGAAAUUGUAAAGUUCUUCACUUGGAACAUUGCUCUCCCUCAGAUAUACCAUAUGCAGGUAAUAAUUUGAACAGAAAGAUUAUUUUUAAUAUAUAACAUUUUAUUCUGUUUUUUUUUUUUUUUUUUUUUGCAAAUUUCUGAAAAGAUAGCUAUCAUUGCAGUUAAUAGUACCUAUACAUAGUCAGAAUUUCUGUUUUCAUGGAACACUUUAAGCUAAUAGAAUGGAAUUAUUUACCUGAACUGAAGUUUCUUGGCUCCAAUCACCAGGCUUCCUUUUUAGCAUGUACCUGAUUGUAAAAAUAAUCUCAAUUUAGAUUUAUCACUUAACGCAGAAGUAAAUUAGAAGGAACUGAAAUAAAAUUUGUAUGUGGCUAGGUAUUACUGAUUAAUCACACAUUAAUUCACAGUUGCUACUUUCAUUUCACAAAGUCUAGAAAAUAUGACCUUCAUGAAUAGAAGAUAUGAGCUUUCAUAAAGUUAAUGACAUUUUUUGGCCUAAAACAUUACUAUUUUAAAUAACUUUUUCAUAAGUUGAAAAGCAAUGUGUGUCUCAUGUUCACUAGUAAAGAAUGUUGUUUAUUUAUUACUGUGCCUAAUUAGUCACACUUUUAAAUAGUUAUUUUUCUUUAUGCUCAUUUAUGUGUUAUAUACCAAAACAUUUCAUUUCUAUGAUGGUUUUAAUGUCACCUAAUAAGAUUGUAAAUAUAUCAAUCGUUUUCUUGUCAAUAAAUACUGUGGUAUAUAUUUUAAUCUACCAGGUAUUAAAUCUGUAUGUACAAGCCUGGGCAACAUAAGAGACAACCAUCUCUAUAAAACAAUAAAAAAUUAGGUGUAGAGGUGUGCACCUGUAGUUGCAGCUACUCAAAGGGCUAAGAAUCACUUCAGCACAGGAGGUUGAGGUGGCAGUGAGCACUGAUUACACCACUGCACUCCAGCCUGCAUGACAGAACAAGACCCUGUCUCUAAAAAAAAUUUUUUUUGAAUAUGUGUAAGUGACUUAGAAUAGUAACUAACACAUUGUAUUGACUAAAUAACUACUUAGUACUUUGAUUUAUCAAAUUAUUAUUGUUCAUACCAUUCAUUAUUUAUUAUGUUGUUGAAUAUUCGUUCCUAUUAAAAUUUGUUAUUCUCUCUUAUCUAAAUAUUGAUGAAAAACUGUGGGCUGUGUUGAUUUAUCCGAAGCCAAAUGGCAUCCUUCACUAAUUUUCUUUCUAUUUAAUAACUCAUUUGAUUAUGCAAUAAUAUGAUUAUUAUGUACAGGCAGUUAUCAUCAUAUUCUUCAUCUUCUGACAGAGGAAAAUUUGAGUCAUUCAUUAAUUAAACCAAAGCCUCAAUCUCCUACAUUUAACUUCCUGAAUCUUGCAUGUCAACUGCUUAGAAAAUAUAAAAAUAUAAAUACUACACAUAAGAAAUAAAUACCUUGAUAGACACAAAUUAUCAAAGUGAAUCCAAG
rnacentral:lncRNA from 10 species